rnacentral:rRNA from 1 species
GUCGUCAGUUCGUACUGUGAAGCAUCCUGUUAGGUCAGGCAACGAGCGAGACCCACGCCAACAGUUGCCAGCUCGUCCUCCGGGAUGGAGGGGACACUGUUGGGACCGCCUCUGCUAAAGAGGAGGAAGGAAUGGGCAACGGUAGGUCAGCAUGCCCCGAAUUAAUUGGGCUACACGCGGGCUACAAUGGGUGGGACAAUGGGUAUCGACACCGAAAGGUGAAGGCAAUCUCCUAAACCCAUCCGUAGUUCGGAUUGUGGGCUGCAACUCGCCCACAUGAAGCUGGAAUCUGUAGUAAUCGUGUUUCAAAAUAGCACGGUGAAUAUGUCCCUGCUCCUU